GGGGGUGACAGGCUUCGACUUUGGCUGUCAAACCGGGAGAAGCGAGCCGUGGUCCCCGGAUGCCACGUAAAACAACUGGGAAAACAACAAAUGCCAACACUGGCAACGCGCGUCUAGCGCUGGCUGCUUAAUCGCAGCCCGUCCGUCUGGCCCCAGCCCUGCGGGCCAGGAGCGGGCGUCAUAAAGCGGGGCUUACCUUGCAGCUGAGCUAGCCGGCGGCGAGGGAAAUUUCAGCUAGCUAGGGCCGGCGGCCGGCGCCAGUGGCGAGCCGGCGGCUGACGAAUUUCACUGGCUGCGCUCGGAGAAUCCCCGGCAAGAAGCCGAAGGACGCGGGUUCAAUUCCCGCCACCUCCACGA
rnacentral:tmRNA from 1 species